UGACACUAUUUAAACAAAUAAUUUUUUUGAGCGGUAUAAAAAAAAAAAGUAUGGUGAAGAAAAUAUUAUAGGAUACUUACUCGAGCACAGUUUUAACUAAAUCUUGACAAUUUUUUUGAUAAACGAGCUCUACGCCUCUACUCUGAAUCAUUUAUUGAAUACAGUGAUUUAUCAUUUCAUCAAAACACUAUAAGACAUAUGCUCGCAUAAAUUAAGUAUUGCGCAACCCACGGUUCCGUCUAUUUUAAUAAAAAAUUAUAUGUUCGGCACCAUCGGAAUUAAACAUGAAAAGUUUUAAAAUAAAAUUGGCGUGGCGUGGAAUAUCUGUAAAUAAAGUAAUUUUCGGUCCUCAAACUCGAUUUGGUUAGGUGUUCUUAACUCGUAAAUCGUAAAUCGUAUGACAUAUAUUAUUAUGCAAAAACAAUAAUGUUUUUAUUUCUUUUUUGAGGGGGCGCCCGAGUGGGUGUCUCGUGCAUACACGGUUAUCUAUGGUUGUGGCGUGAACCUUUACGCACACUUGCCAUGGGUGUGUUUAUAUUUUUACCACCUACUAUAUUGUGUCACUAUACCAGUAUACCACCCUCGCUUUUUUCGAACAUAAAUGUACCGGUGCAUCCGAAUUGCAUGUCAAAAAAAAAAAAGAAAAAGUGUCCAAAUUCCAUGCAAUAUCUUAAAAGGCACUACCUUAAUUGUACGACAUGGGCACCAUGAUGAUAAUAUGAUUACAUACAUUAUCAUAAUUUUUAAUUAUUUUGUGUAGACUAUUACCUAAUCUCAAAAUUAAAUUGCUAUUGUCAAUAAUAAUUGUUUAAAAUAUUAGGUACUCUCUUUUAUUCAAUUAAAUCUUUUUUAUAUUGGUGUUGUGUUUUAAACUCAAUAAGUCUCGUAAUAGUUGGUUGAAAUAAGUAAACUUACAUUGCAACUAAAGUAUUAAUUGUUUUCAGUUUUUUUUUUAAAUUUAACUUACUAAUGAACUAUUUCAACAAUUCUAAUUUUUUUUUUUAUUUAUUUAUAGUAGUUGUAUAAAAUAAAUAAAAAUGGUGCACGUAGGAUGCCCAUGGGCCUGUGAAUUCAACUUGAACUGGCUCUUCCAAGAAAUUCCACGCCAUUCCAUUUCGACUGACUCUUUGUAGUAUAUACAGGCAUGCAAUUUGGACUUUUCUGUUUUUAUUUUUGUUUUUGGCAUACUGUAGCUGCGUGUGCUCGUGUACCUAAGUCGUCAAGCCUAAAAUCGUGAGGCUAAAAUCUCAAAAAUUAGUUUUUCCAACCGACAGCACUUCAGUGGUGGUUUAUUGAUAUUAAAUUUUGCAUAAUAAUGGUUUGCCGUAUUACGUUUUGUUUCGACGUUCCGCUACAAAUUUAUUCAUAUACGAUCUCGGCAAUACGUGCUAAUUUUUUUCCCGCCUUCUAAACAAUGGGAUAUGAUUUCGCUCGUUCGAGAGAUUUAACAGAAUUUCAUCGUCGCUUACACUACGCCGUAAAGAAAACGCUGCAACAAUUAAAAUAUUUUAUUAUUAUUACGUCAUUGCAUUUCGGCCACAAACUCAUUCCGCGGUCCGCGCCCGAACACAAUAUCUAUCCGUCAUAAUAUUAUGUAUUUUAUAUCAAUCGAGUUGCGCAAAUGCGGUGUUACGGACAUAAUUUUUUUUAUCUUUCAAUUUCACGAGUGUGUUUGAAUUACGACGAUGUGCUCGCUGCAGUUCAAACAAUGCGGUCGUAUAAUAUUUUGAGUCUCGUAUAGGCUGCAAUACAAUACGACAAUGGAACCUAUCCGAUGGAUUUAUGCUCUGAAUAGCUCUCAGUAAAAUGAACAUAUGUGGCUAUAUGGUAUAUGGGUAAUGUUCUGCGACGUCAAAAAUGGUCCGCCGACGGUGCAGCGGAUGACGAUAGCGACGAAAAGACGACCGUCCACCAUAAUAAUGUAUAAUGAGAGGAAAAGCACACUGACCCGCGACGAUCCCGCGACGGCCGCCAAAUAAGUAUUAUUUCAGCGUAUGUACCUACACGCGGUAUCCAAGGACCUCCGUCGAAAAAAUCCAAACGGCCGUCUGCCGUCCGCCCGUACGGUCGGCCGCGUCCGACGCGCAUCAUCGAGCGAAGACGACGACGCAUAUAAAAUACACGCAAAGGUAAUUCAAAACUUCCAAAUUACUUAUAU